rnacentral:rRNA from 1 species
UACGGAGGGUGCAAGCGUUAUCCGGAUUCACUGGGUUUAAAGGGUGCGUAGGUGGGCAGGUAAGUCAGUGGUGAAAUCUCCGGGCUUAACCCGGAAACUGCCAUUGAUACUAUCUGUCUUGAAUGCCGUGGAGGUGAGCGGAAUAUGUCAUGUAGCGGUGAAAUGCUUAGAUAUGACAUAGAACACCAAUUGCGAAGGCAGCUCACUACACGAAUAUUGACACUGAGGCACGAAAGCGUGGGGAUCAAACAGG